rnacentral:lncRNA from 1 species
ACGCCCCUCCCCUCCCAGAUUGGUGCGCCGCGACAUGUUGCCAUGCUCGCUGGCAUGACGCUCGGUGGUGCCAAGACCAGUGUGCCAGCCUGUAUCUGUCUCUGGGUGUCUGACUGAAUCUCAUACGAACACUUAUUCUAUUACAUAAUCUCUACUCAAUCAUAGUUGUUACAUUUUAAAGGCAAGAUAUUCAUAUGAUUAUUUCAGAAUGUACUCAUCCUCAGCAUAUCAAGGAUUUGGCUAAAUGGGGGUUGUGCACAGAAUAGACGAUAAGGCUACUCUAUCAUUGAAGAUGCCAGUAGAAGCCAACAGCUAAACAAGGAGAAAACAUCAAAGAGUGACACAUAACCCAAGAUGCCCCUGAUGGCUGUGACGCAUUGAGAAAGUCUCACAAGAAACAGGAGCUGAGACAGAGAUGCACGUGAGGAGCUGGAGGGGAAGAUGCAAUAGUUUCAGCACAUUACCGGAGGAAAGGAACAUGUUUCGCCGCCAGGACAGAGAAGCACUCACAUAAAAAAAUAAAACACGGC